UUUGGUCGAGCAGUUAAUGAUGAUGAUGAUGAUGGGAGUUGAUUUUUUACACUGUGGAUGCAGAGGUGGAAGGCAGUUAGACGGCGAUGAUGCCAUUGAUAUUUUAGUUCCAAUGUUUCCCAAAAGAUUAUUGGGUUUCUUGUCCAAUGAAGAACUGCGAGCUAAUAAGUUCUUGCGUUUCCUAUUGUAGGGAUCUUCAGGCUUGGCAAAAUCUUUAACAGAGGAAACAGCAGCCGCAUCGGCUAAACUUGUAAAGGACUUUGAUUUGCCACCAUAAAACUUGGAUAUGCCUUUUCUGUAAUCAAACAAAACCCGCAAAGAAAAACAGAUUGAAGAACCCAUAAGAAUAACUAUGCAAGAUCUUAUUAAAAGACACCAUUUUCUUGUUCUUCAAGCAAUGGUUAGUAGGAGUAACUAGUAUCAAACCCACAUUUCACUAUUUUUUUUUAAAUUAUAAUAAUAGGGUAAAGCCCAAACAACAAACGCCAAUAACCAUCGAGCCGUCACAUGGAGUUCACAUUUCACUACUUUAAUACGCUUUAAAUAAUACAUGUCCUUAUAUUAAAAGUUAAAGCCACUUCAUCUUUUUGGAAGAAAUUGCCAAACAAAACCCUCGCUAUUUUUUUAGAUUUACACGUAAAGAGAAAACAAGCCAAAUAUUUUAAUUUUUAUAUUUUGAAUGUUAAAAAUGGUUUACCUCAGAGCAUCCAUUGUAUCCAAAGGUCCUUUGUACUUCAGGUGCUAUCUAAAGAUAUUGGACAAUUAAGAUGAUUGUCAACUGUUUCCAUAAAUUCAAAUAAUUAGGAGAAAUCAACAUUGAAAUAAGUAGUUAUAAUUAUUGACAACUGUUUCCAUAAAUUCAAUUCAGUAAUAGUUAUAUUAAAUGGACAAUUAAGAUUGAAAUAAAUAGUUAUAUUUAUUGUCAACUGUUUCCGUAACUUCAAUUCAUUAGGAGAAAACAAUUAAUAAAUUAUAUUAUAUUAAAAUUAGAUUUACUUUAGAGAAGUAUAAAUGUAAAAAUACAAUAUAAAAAAAUGUUUUAGAAUUAAAAUACUAUAUUAAGUUCAAAAUGAUAUUUAUUUGUAAAAUUAAUGAUAACUUUUACAAUAUAUGAAAUUUACCAGGAUGCAAAAGAUGUUUUUUUUCCAACCCAAAAGAGUAUUCUUCUUGUUUUCUGAGAAAAAUUUCCCCCUAAUUCACAUUAUAGGGAAUCAGUCUCAUCAUCAUCACGUGAAAGUAUGCAUGGACAUACCUUCAAGGUUUAAAUGGCUCAAAAGAUCCAUGCUUUUCGCUCUAUAUAAAGGGUGACCUCAGCUUGCAACAUCAUUUUCACCCCUCAAAAACCAGUGCCAUAAACAUGUUUCUCCCAAUCUUUUUCAUUUUCUCUUUCCUAUUUUCCUCCACCAACGCAGCCGACUUCUGUGUUGGGGGCUUGAAUGGCCCUGUAGGCCCUGCAGGCUAUUCUUGCAAGAAGACAGCCACCGAAGAUGACUUCUCUUUCUCCGGCCUCCGUACCGCAGGCAACACUUCGAACCUCGUAAAAGCUGCAAUAACACCAGCCUUUUCGACUCAAUUCCCGGGUGUUAACGGACUCGGCAUUUCAAUAGCUCGUUUGGAUUUAGCUGUUGGUGGAGUGAUACCUAUGCAUACACAACCUAGGGCUUCUGAACUCAUUCUUGUUAUGGAUGGCACACUUUUUGCUGGUUUCAUAUCCUCAGAUAACAAAGUUUACUCCAAAUCUCUGAAUGAAGGAGACAUUAUGAUUUUCCCACAAGGUUUAUUACAUUUCCAAAUCAAUACAGGCAAAACUCAAUCCGUGGCAUUUGUAUCCUUCAACAGUGCAGACCCUGGUGUCCAAAUCCUGGACUUUGCCUUGUUUACAAAUGACUUGCCGACUGACAUUAUUGAAGGAACCACUUUUCUGGAUGCUGCUCAGAUUAAGAAGCUGAAGGGUGUUCUUGGAGGAACUGGUUAAUAUUAUUUGAACUUGUUGAGAGUCCCUUUUUUUUUCGUAUGCUUUCACGUUUGCUUGUGUCUUCUUGUCAGUGGUAGUUUGUUGGAAAUUACUAGCAAAAGAGUGAGUCUCUGUUGUGUUUCUUUGUGUUCCUUCUUCAGGUUCUACUGUGAACCAAAAAUGUAAUAAAAAAGACCAUCGCUUUCUCGAUCUGAAAAUGUUUAAAUAAAGGCAAUUAUGUUGUUUAUCUUUCUCCCUUAAAAUGGGAAAUAGCCAACUUCAUUAAUCUCCAAAGAUGAUGGUGAGUAGCUGGAAUUGUUUGGUGGGGAAUACCGCACUGGCAGAAUUUUUGGGAUGACCAUAUACCCCUUCCCCAUCCAUUAAGAAAGGAUAUUUUAUUCGAACCCGGAUAUAAAAUAUUUAAGUAUAUUUAGAUAAAAUUACGCAAUCUUUUACAAAAUAAUAUAUAUAUUGGUUAAAAGUUGGUCACCAUUAAAAUCGACUACUUUCAUGAACCUUAUCAAAUAGUACUAUAAUCCAUAGUCCAAGUUCUUUUGAAAAUUUAUACUGUACUGUACUAGCACUAUGAUCAGCAAUCACUGAACCAAAGAAUGAUGUUGGAGCCAAUAUCUGGACAAAUAUUUGUACUAAAUGUAGACAUAAUGUUGGUAUAAACUAAAAAUUUUGAUAUGUUUGAGUGAAUACUAAACAAGUGAAAAGAGGAUUUAAGCUUUAGGUUAAUUGAUUAGAAAAUUUAAAAUAUAUCAAUCAAAAUUGUUCCAAAUACUAACAUCAUAGCCUUAUCAUUAUGGUAAGUAUUAAAUGUAAAUUCAAUUUAACAUACUUUUAUAAAAAUAUAUUCAAUAACAAAUACAUAUGUAUUUAUUAUAUAAACAACUUUGCACCUAGCUUUCUUAAUUUAAUUUAUAUAUUUUAAAAAUUAUAUACAAUUGACAUUUAACGAAUAACUUAGCGACUAAAUUAAUAAAAUAUUAAUAUUUUGAGAACUUAAAUUAAAAUAUUUUAAAGCUUAGGAACUAAUUUCAAAUUUGAGCAAUAAUUUAGGGUUUGAACUCCAUUAAAAAGACAAGCCCAAUUUUUGCUGCAAGGUAAAAGAAAGUAUUUUAGUUAAUAGUAUUUUACAAUAAAGCAUUCUCACCAUUGUCUCAAAGCAAACAAAGAGACGAGAAGAGUAGUACAUCAGUAAUUACUUCUAAAUGGCAUGUCCAUGGUAUACCUACCACUUCAAACCACAAGCAUUAGAUCAAAGCAGAACACAAGUGAUCAUCUCAAUGACUAAAACUACAAGCCUUUUGGCCAGUUCUGUAAUUGUAAAAGCGAAACUGUGGUUAAUUUCAACGCAGUUUGUUGCCUUUAUUACCACUGUGAACAGCCAAACCAGCCAUGUUAGGAGUUGUAGCAGCAACAAACUGUAGAUCAGACAAGGAAUAAGACCGGCAAGGAGGGUUUGGUCGAGCAGUAAAUGAUGAUGAUGAUGGUUUGAUGAUGGUAGUUGAUUUUUUACACUGUGGAUGCAGAGGUGGAAGGCAGUUAGACGGCGAUGAUGCCAUUGAUAUUUUAGUUCCAAUGUUUCCCAAAAGAUUAUUGGGUUUCUUGUCCAAUGAAGAACUGCGAGCUAAUAAGUUCUUGCGUUUCCUAUUGUAGGGAUCUUCAGGCUUGGCAAAA
rnacentral:lncRNA from 1 species